CUUAAUUCCCCCCACUCCUCGUCCACCAUAGUAGGAAGCAUCCACUGUGGGCCACUUCUUGGAAGGCAAAGGCUGCUGUUCUUCUUCCUUGACGCUGCCCUGAAGACCAGGACUACUAAGCCACAAGUGGCCCUUCCAGGUGAUGGAUGUCCAAGCCUCAUGUGCAGGAGAGAAGGGCAGGAACUGAGGAAGGAUCAGUAUUCCACAGGAGGCUCACCAUAUACCAUCAAGUGGAGGUGAGGUGAUUAAUAGGAACCUCCCUGGAUUUCUGUUGGGCCUGUGCUGUGGAGAAUGAGAACAAUUACUGAUCUGUUAGCAAAGAAAUCGUGUUGAGAGCAAUGUGUGAUGGUUGGCGAAAGAGAUUCUAUUCUCUCUGUGCUCCACGCCCAAAUGGAAAAGCUGCUCUCCAGUCACACUCAAGGUGAGACACAUUUAAAGGCCCACUUGCACAACACAUUCUCAACACUGUGGGCUUGUGUCUCCCUCUGCAAAUUCCAGCUGUCCUGUGUAAUACAAAAGGAAUUAAAGGAGAGCAAACAUGUGAGAGUAGGAAAUCUAUGUAUUAAAUUGGAACAGUCACUGGCUGCACCAGAGUGUGGUGUCCCCCAGAAGCAGCUUUUAUUUUAUCUUUUCUAUAACCUGUGCUCACACUUAGCAGGAUGUUUACAGUGCCUCACUCCUAGGUCUAAGUGGGACACUGGCCUCUGUCUCCCUGGAUGAACAAGAGCUAAGAGCCUGCGCUCCUCACUCAGGCCCCAGAGUUACAGAGCAUUAGUACCCCUACAGGGCUGUAAGCUCUCUCUACACCCAGCUGAAGGGCCGAGCUUGUGCCAUGUGCUCCCUCAGUCCUACCCAGGGGAGAGCCGUGCCAGAAUGGGACCCCGGGUGCCUGCCACACCUGGCCCUCAGGACAUGGUGCCUACUGUGAGCAGGGCUCUGAGGGCAGGAAGCCUCCAGCACUUGGAAAGACACAGCUUGGCACAGGAAAGUGGAAGCAGAGGUUCUCUGCUCUGAGGUCUUGCAGUGCACAGCCCAAAGAGAAACGGGGUGUGGGGAUUUUAUAAGGAGUUAUGAGUCC